rnacentral:ncRNA from 1 species
CCACAUAACGGGCAAACCCGCCGAAAGGCGGGGGCGCAAAGCCAUGGGUCUACAGCCAUUCAGGCCACGAUUGCCAGGUUGCCGGU